UGGGUGGUCUUUUCCUAGGAAGCAGAGCUGAGGAAGAGCUGCUGCCAGGAAAAAACCCUCGCCCUUAGAGGAAGGGUUUCCCUUGAUUUCUGAAGUUUCCACUCAUGUCUUCAUUCUGGAUUUCAUCUGGUGAUAAAGGAUGCUGUUCCUCAUCUUCCUCGUUAUGCUGAUCAUUCCCUGUUGGAAUAAAGAGAGAUCCUUUAAGAACCCAUGCAAGGAGAUCUAAUCUGCACCUGAAGUUUCAUCCAUAAUCCAAAUAUUUCAGUGUCUUCUUCCUUCUGUACAUUGAAGCAUACAAGAAUAAAGGGGACAGAGAUCUGGAGGAAUAAAGACUAGAAAGGCUUCAGGAAGAAACUAUUGGAGACUUCAGGCGAAGCUUCUUUGACCCAGCAUGACCUCAUCAGUGGGAGGGAAAAGAGAGAUAAGACGUCUGAGAGAAAGAAAGAGGGGCUCUUUUGUGCUCACUACACUUGAGGGAGAAGCCUGAAGUUACUGGAACUCCUGCAAAAAUCUGUAACUUUUUAUGCUAAGGAGCCCUCCUUAAACUUAAGAAUUAAUAGGAUAUGUAGAGAGGGAGAUACACAGAAAUUGCAUUUUAUUCAUUUCUUUUCAGUCCCUUGUUGUUCUAUGAGUAUGCUCAUAAAAGGUCUUUUGUUAAUAAACACUUUAUAACUUUU